GUUACAAUGAUUUGAAUUUUAAUAACAUUAGGAAGGAAAAGCAACACACUUUUAAAUGUAUUUACAACCUGAGGAGGCCUGGUUGUUGGAUUAUUUUCUUUUUAGGAACACAUAUUUUACCAUAUGCAACACAUCGUGUAUAUAUUUGAUGUGAACGCUGAUGCAGAAGCGGCAACAGAAGUGGUAGCCCUCAUGUAAAGCCCUCCUCGUGUGAAGACCUACUUGUGUAAAGACUACCUGUGCGAGUCCACCGAGCAAGGACACCGACAAGGCGCAACUCACCAUAGCACUUAAGUAUCUUUUAAUUUUAUCUCUCUUCUUAUUUUCCUUGGUCAUGCUAACAUGUCUACUUCACGAAUAACAUAUGCCUUCAGGCACAUCCCUGUUAUCUGUUACAGACACUUUACAUGAUAUAGAUGCAAGACAAAACGCAACCCACACAACCUAUGGCCACUUUGCACUUCAGCACCUGCUCCGCUCUCUUUCUCAGUGGGACUCUGGAACUGCCAGUCAGCUGUGAACAAAGCUGACUUCAUUCCAGCCUUUGCCACACAGUCCACCCUCAGCAUCCUGGCACUGACAGAAACAUGGAUAUGUCCAGAGGAUACAGCAACACCUGCUGCUCUCUCCAACAAUUUCUCCUUCUCUCACACCCCUCAACACACUGGUAGGGGUGGGGGAACAGGUCAGCUGACAAACUUUCUCGAGGAGUUAGAUGUCCUGCUGUCCUCCUUCCUGGAGGAUGGUAAGCCACUUGUGGUACACCAAGACAAGCCCCAGGCCACUGAACUCAGUGCUCUUCUGGCCUCAUUUGACUUGGAAAGACUAAGCACCACAGCAACCCACAGAUCAGGCAACCAGCUGGACCUCAUUUUUACACGCCAGCACGUACUACACCACCCAGCCCCUGGCUCUCUGACGUUCUUCAUUAACAUCGGCAGCUGAGAGGAGAUGGCGGAAAUCUAAAGAUUCAGCAGAUCUAGAACAAGCUUCUGGAUGACAAUCAGUCAGGCUUCAAAAGUGUACACUCCACCGAGACUGCCCUGCUCUCUGUCACUGAGUUGCUGAGACAGGCAAAAGCUGAAUCCAGAUCAUCCGUCCUGAUUCUGCUGGACCUUUCCGCAGCCUUCGACACAGUCAACCAUCAGAUCUUACUCUCCACCCUCUCUUCGCUGGGCAUCACAGGAACUGUGCUUGGCUGGUUUAAUUCCUAUCUCUCAGACCAACGACACCACAGUGACUGCACAAAUCUCUGCCAGCCUGGCAGACAUCUCGGCCUGGAUGAAGGAACACCACCUGCAACUUAACCCAGCCAAGAUCGAACUCCUUGUCUUUCCAGCCAACCCUGCUGUUCAACACGACAUCACCAUGCAGCUGGGUGCAACUACAGUAAUGCCUUCCAAAAUGGUCAGAAAUCUAGGUGUAACCAUCGAUAACAAACUCAAUUUCACAGACCACAUCUCAAAGACCGCAAGAUCAAGUAGAUUUACACUCUACAAUAUCAGGAAGAUAAGACUCUUCCUCUCUGAACAUGCCACACAACUUCUUAUUCAGUCACUUGUCAUAACUAGACUGGACUACUGUAACGCUCUCAUUGCAGGCCUCCCUGCAUGUGCAAUUAUACCCCUGCAAAUGAUCCAGAAUGCAGCAGCACGUCUGGUCUUUAAUCAACCAAAAAGAGCGCAUGUUACACCACUCCUUGUCUCUUUUCACUGGCUGCUGGUUGAUGCACAUAUCAAGUUCAAGGCUCUGAUGCUGGCAUACAGAACAGUCACUGGGUCUGCUCCAGCAUACCUAAAAUCAUUUCUGCAGAGCUACGUGCCCACUAGAAGCCUGCAGUUGGCUAAGGAACGUCGCCUUGUUGUACCAACACAAAGAGGCACCAAAACACUUUCCCGAACUUUCGGCUUCAUCAUACCACGUUGGUGCAAUGACCUUCCCAACUCCAUUCAUGAAGGUAACUCACUUUCUGUCUUCAAAAAAUGGCUAAAAACACAUCUUUUCCAUGAGCACUUAACCAGUCACAAAAAAAAAUAAAAAAUAAACUUUGUAAUAUGGCACUUUUCGUACCACUGUCUCCUUAAGAUGAUUCGUUUAUGUUUUCCUCUUUUGUAAGUCACUUUGGAUAAAAGCGUCUGCCAAAUGAAUAAAUGUAAAUGUAAAGUUAAAGCUCAGUCGCAAAUGGGUCUUCCAAAUGGACAAUGACCCCAAGCAUACCUCCAAAGUUGUGGCAAAAUGGCUUAAGGACAACAAAGUCAAGGUAUUGGAGUGGCCAUCACAAAGCCCUGACCUCAAUUCGAUAGAAAAUUUGUGGGCAAAACUGAAAGCAAGGGGGCCUACAAACCUGAUUUGGUUACACCAGUUCAGUCUGGAGGAAUGGGUCAAAAUUCCAGCAACUUAUUGUGAGAAGCUUGUGGAAGGCUACCCAAAACAUAUGACCCAAGCUAAACAAAUUAAAGGCAAUGCUACCAAAUACUAACAAAGUGUAUAUAAACUUCUGACCCACUGAUAUUCUCUACUAUUAUUCUGACAUUUCACAUUCUUAAAAUAAAGUAGUGAUCCUAACAGGCCUAAGACAGGGAAUGUUUUCUACAAUUAAAUGUCAGGAAUUGUGAAAAAAAAACUUUAAAUGAGUUUAAAUGUAUUUGGCUAAGGUGUAUGUCAACUGUAUAUGUUGAAAUUAAAAUUAACCAAGAUUAAUAAAUGCCGUAGAAGUAUUAUUAAUUGUAAGUUCAUGUUAACUUAUGAUGUUAACUAAUGUUAACAGAUGGAACCUUAUUGUAAAGUGUUACCGUUAUCUGUAUGACCCAGAGAGCUGCACCAAUCACACAGUCUACUGUAUGAGAGACACUCUCCCACUGAGACGCAGCAUAUUAGCCAGUGCUGAAACUGAUGAAGAGCUCUUAUGGAGAAAGAAUUAACUGGAGUAAAAUUGAAGAGUGUGUGUGAGUAGGUGUGCUUUUCUUGUGGGGGAAAAUAACUGUAAACAAAGAACUUGUCUGACUUCCUGACAUGGAAAACAGCAUCAUAACCAGUCAAAAUAAUGUUAUUAUAUAACAUCCAAAAGUUGUUUAUUGAAAGGGUAAAUGUUAGUAGAAGAGUUAGGUUUAGGAUUAGCAGAAGGUUUUGGAUUGUAUGGAGGAAGAUGCACUAUGUUCAUAAAAUAUUCCUCUGCCAAAAUGCAACAUAACGAAAAGUGUAAUCUGUAUAAUAAUGUCUCGACUUUGUCAACCAAUUACCUUUUUUAAAAAUUCAGCUGUACACUUUUUCACUAAAGCAUCACCUUCAGGAAAUAACACAUGAAAACCAGUGGCCCGAUAAAUAAGUGUUUCAUCUGUACAAAAUGGACAUCGAAAAGUGUGGAAUUUAUAAAGAAAAUAUACUGGAAAUAAAAAUGUGCUCAUCAUCCACAUACUUUUUACCGUAUGUACACUUUUUUAAUGGUGGGAAUAAAACUGCCAAGUAAUGAACUAAACAGAAUGAUUCAAAAGUAUACUUUUCAUUUAAAUGUCACCCUCAUGUAUUGAGUUAGCACUCGAAUCAGACCUAAUCAUCAUCCAGGCAUUAAAACAUAUUAAUUUUAUGUAACUGUUGGGCCUCAUGUAUUCAGAUUGAAGGCAAAGGCAGGCCUAACACAGUCAUAAAACCUAACUCAGCCCCCACAUACCAAGUCAUAAAUCUUACUGAUAAAAAUCGUGCCAAAAUCAAACAAAGGGAGUCCAAAACAGACUACAAAUCCCAUGAAGCCUUGCUCACUAAAGGAUAGAACUCUCAACUCCUAUUGGAUGAGGCACACAACAGAAUGUCCCUCAACCAUGACAUCAUCAGGAGUAGAAAUACCUCUGAAAUGCUUCCGGGAUUUGCUUCCAGCAACUUUGUUCGCCGUGUAUAGACGCAGCUCAUCGCUGCUCUCAGGUGCAGCUUCGUGGCACAAGGAAGUAACGUCCGACUUGAAACUGUGGCCAUACAAUCUCCAUCUCGCUGGACGAGUUGAGAUUACUCUGUGUUCAACCGAACACUCUAACGGAUCCGAAGGAGACUGCCGAGCGAUCCGCAUCUUCAUCUGUUUGCCUGCAGAAGUGAAGAGAUUAAAGAUUUCUCUUCCAUCUUCAAUCAAGUCGACAUUUCUGAUUUCUCCGCCAGCCCGCCAAGAAUCAGCAGCCGUACCGCCCGCCGACAGAGCGAGGAAACGGCCUCCCAUCAUCACCCGAGCCUCGAGGAACCGAGUCUGAGUUAAAGGACGGAUGAACCCACAUUCUGCAUCCUCAUGCGAUUCAAGUAAGAGGUUUACGUCCGGGCAGAGAUAGAAUAUUAUAGUGUGUUAUUCUUGUGUUUCAAGGUUUUUGCUUGUACAGUUUACGGACCACCAUGUCCGCUCAUUAUUAAUACUCAGGGUAUUAAUUAUCAUGAAUUUGAUUUGCUGUAUUGUGGUCCAACCAAAUUGGACUGUUGUGCAUUUUCGCCAUUGCGGGUGAGACCGGCAAACUGAGUUUAUCCAUUAAAGAAUCAAAGAACGCAGGACUGUUUACGAGCCGUCCACCGCGUCUCUGAGUGAUAAACUAACAGGUGCUUUCUCUCCCACGAUCGCGAAAUCGGCUUUGGGGCCGUCACUUAAUUCUCUCUCUCUCUCUCUCGUACUAACCACACACACACACACACACACACACACACUCGCUCUCACACACACACACACCCUCAUGUGUUAUAGGAUUAUUUUGAUUUCCAUAUCUAAUCAUAUCACUGUUUAGUUUGUAGUUGGAAGUCAGAAGUUUAUUGACUGCAUUGUAUUAAUUAUUAAUUGAUAUUACU